CCGCUUCCUAAAUGGAUGGACGGCGUGGAUAAAACGCAUGGAUCAUGGUGGGGCCCACCGAGCUUUUCCACCACCAAGCUGGGUGUUGUUGGGGUCGCCACCGAAGCCGAGUCCUUUUUUCUCAAGACAAGAAGGAAAACGGAGCUCUCUAUUGCAGAAGGCCGAAGCUCUCUCUCUCUCCACAAAUCUCAUCGGCCUUUUUCUUCUUCAGCUGCCAAAAACUUGGGAAAUCUAAUGGCUAUGAUAGAUGAGCCACUCUAUCCAAUCGCUAUUUUGAUAGAUGAACUGAAAAAUGAAGACAUUCAGCUGCGAUUGAACUCAAUCCGCAGGCUUUCAACCAUUGCACGGGCCCUUGGGGAGGAAAGAACUAGAAAAGAAUUGAUUCCUUUUCUUAGUGAAAACAAUGAUGACGAUGAUGAAGUACUUCUUUCAAUGGCCGAAGAAUUGGGGGUGUUUAUUCCCUAUGUUGGGGGAGUGGAAUAUGCCCAUGUUUUACUUCCCCCAUUGGAAACUCUUUGCACUGUGGAGGAAACUUGCGUAAGGGACAAAGCUGUGGAAUCAUUGUGUCGUAUUGGAGCCCAGAUGAAGGAAAGUGAUCUGGUAGAUUGGUUCAUCCCUCUGGUAAAGAGGCUAGCAGCAGGGGAGUGGUUUACUGCUCGAGUUUCCUCAUGUGGACUGUUUCAUAUUGCUUACCCAAGUGCACCAGAGUUGUUGAAGGCAGAAUUACGUUCUAUAUACAGUCAGUUGUGUCAAGAUGAUAUGCCUAUGGUGAGAAGAUCUGCUGCAUCAAACCUAGGAAAAUUUGCUGCUACAGUUGAACCAAGCCAUCUGAAGACUGAUAUUAUGUCUAUAUUUGAAGAUCUAACACAGGAUGAUCAAGACUCCGUUCGGUUGUUGGCUGUUGAGGGAUGUGCAGCACUAGGGAAGUUGCUGGAACCGCAGGACUGUGUAGCUCACAUCCUUCCUGUCAUUGUUAAUUUCUCUCAGGACAAGUCUUGGCGUGUUCGUUAUAUGGUAGCAAAUCAGUUAUAUGAGCUAUGUGAAGCUGUUGGCCCUGAGCCUACCAGGGCGGACUUGGUGCCUGCAUAUGUGAGGCUACUUCGAGAUAACGAGGCUGAAGUACGUAUAGCAGCUGCAGGGAAAGUGACGAAAUUUUGCCGCAUCUUGAAUCCACAACUUGCAAUUCAGCACAUUCUUCCCUGCGUGAAGGAAUUGUCAUCAGAUUCUUCACAACAUGUUCGCUCUGCUUUGGCUUCAGUAAUAAUGGGAAUGGCACCGGUCUUAGGGAAGGAUGCAACUAUCGAGCAACUUCUUCCAAUUUUUCUUUCCCUUUUGAAAGAUGAAUUCCCUGAUGUUCGGCUCAAUAUCAUUAGCAAGCUUGAUCAAGUGAAUCAGGUUAUUGGAAUUGAUCUGUUGUCCCAAUCACUUCUACCGGCAAUUGUUGAGCUUGCAGAAGAUAGACAUUGGAGGGUUCGGCUUGCUAUAAUAGAGUACAUCCCCUUGUUGGCAAGUCAGUUGGGUGUAGGAUUUUUUGAUGAUAAGCUCGGUGCCCUGUGCAUGCAGUGGUUGGAAGAUAAGGUUUACUCAAUUCGUGACGCAGCUGCUAAUAACUUGAAGCGGCUCGCAGAGGAAUUUGGCCCAGAUUGGGCAAUGCAGCAUAUAAUUCCACAGGUGCUGGACAUGAUUAAUAACCCACAUUACUUGUAUCGGAUGACCAUCCUGCAUGCAAUUUCUCUACUUGCCCCUGUCAUGGGUUCAGACAUCACAUGCCAGAAGCUAUUGCCUGUGGUCAUUAAUGUCUCAAAGGACAGGGUACCCAACAUCAAAUUCAACGUGGCAAAGGUGUUGCAGUCCCUCAUACCCAUAGUCAGCCAAUCUGUGGUGGAGCAGACUAUUCGCCCCUGUUUGGUCGAGCUCAGUGAGGAUCCAGAUGUGGAUGUGAGGUAUUUUGCCAACCAAGCACUUCAGAAGAGUUCUACUCAGCCAACAGAUAAGAACCUCUUGUCCAGGUUUUAGUGUGAGAUUAUUAGCCAAUUCUAAUGACUACAGUAGAAGGUCAUUGAAUGACACAUCAGACUCCAAAUACAUACCGGAAAAGGAACGGACUUUUAACAUGCUCAAUACAAUGGUGAUGCCACCAAGAUCUUGAUUGGAAGAUCCAGCCCUUAAAGAUUCAUUAAAAGCACAGGAUUUUCUGCUUGUGGGGCCAUGGAGGGGAGAUCCAGACCAUUGGUCUAAAAGCAGUGAUGUGGAUGGGCCAUACUUAUCUUGGAUUCCACGGUCAGAACUCUUCGAAAUUUGGCCCUUAUUACAUUGAAUGUGGAUUUGUUAUACUUUGCUU